UACGGAGGAUCCGAGCGUUAUCCGGAUUUAUUGGGUUUAAAGGGUGCGCAGGCGGGAGAUUAAGUCGGCGGUGAAAUUUUGCAGCUCAACUGUAAAAGUGCCUUCGAAACUGGUUUCCUUGAGUGUAGAUGAAGUAGGCGGAAUUUGUGGUGUAGCGGUGAAAUGCAUAGAUAUCACGAGGAACUCCGAUUGCGCAGGCAGCUUACUAAACUACUACUGACGCUCAGGCACGAAGGCGUGGGGAUCAAACAGGAUUAGAUACCCUGGUAGUCCACGCAGUAAACGAUGAUUACUAGCUGUUUGCGAUACAAUGUAAGCGGCUGAGCGAAAGCGUUAAGUAAUCCACCUGGGGAGUACGUUCGCAAGAAUGAA
rnacentral:rRNA from 1 species